rnacentral:misc_RNA from 1 species
UAUGAACUCAUUUUUUAUUAAUCAUGUAAUGGAUUCACUGUAACACAAUGAAAUACAGAAGGACAAUCCUGGCCUAACCAAAAAACCCGCCAGUCCAAGAGAAAACCUUUGUGGAUGUUGAAUCAACUACACAGGCAAAUGCUUCCAAAUUGUGAAAGGAAUACAAUUUGUUUUGAGAAUAAUUUAAUGAAAAAAGCAUACUUGAUUUGUUUGGUAUUUAUUUUAAUCUAAUGCUUCCAAAUCGUCCUUUGAUAAGCAGGAUCCUCAGCCAUACGUGAAUGGAAAGCAAUUUAUAGUUGCUUCUCCUUGCAACUCAAAUAUUAGUUUUUCCAAAGAGCUGAGCAUAUACACCCUAGUCUGAUGAACCACAAUCAAACUCAAGAUCAUUGCAAUAACACAAACACCUGACAUUAUCCCUAAAAGAGAGCAAAAAACAUAUGGAACCCACACAAGUGAUUCCUCCUGAAGAUGCACUGCAAGCACAAAUUCUGAAUUUAACUUUUGGAUGCCAGUUUGUUUCUCUGCAUAGUAGUCAUAUAUACCACUACCAAUAACACCGGAGAACAUUUGAGAGCCGGCAAUACUAGACAGUGUAAGAAAAUUGUACAAGGCCCUGAUGCUGCCACAAGUUUCCAAAUAGCCACCAUUGACCCUGUAAGAAGAUAGAAUUGCUCUUUAAAUAGACCUCCUUUGGAGCCAUUUCACUUAAUCAUUAACACCUAGCGUGCUUCACGCGAUCUGGGUUAAAUGAUGUAACGGAUUCCAAGAUUCUAGACGCUUCUGAAGUAUCCAAAGUUCAAUACAUGUUCGGAUCGGAUAAUUACCUAUCGGGAACACCGUUGACUUGGAUCGUACCUGAACAUUCUCGGGUCAAGUACUUGGAACUCUUUAAUCCAAAUAGUUCCAAGACCACAGCAGGCACAAUUGCCCAAUGAGCACCAUAGCCGAGUCCUAUAAAAAUGCUCACAACCUAAAUUCCCCUGACCACACCAAUGCAUAACAGAAGAGAUGAUCACCAAAACAACAGCCAUGACCAUGGGUCUUGGGAGGCAAAUUUUCUGAUGAUAGCUUAAGAGAAGUGGCCACCACCAACACAGCCAAGAAAGUUCCAAAUGCUGACCAUGGAUACAAAAAUGUUUGCACUGCUAUACCCCAAAGCCAGUAUGAGAGAGAAAAACAUAAGCAGGAAUUCUGCCUUAAUUAAUGCCUGCGUCAAAGUGAGAUCCUCCCCUCUACAUAGAACUUUUCUGCCUGACUCUCACUGCUCCUUCCACAGCUGCUUGGAACAGUUUAGCUUGCAGACGAGCUAUUCGUUUAUGUCUUUAUGAUGCUGGAAGGAACUCCACUUCUGCAAGCUUCUCAUCUUCAACCUUGCUUAGAGGGACCUCAUUUCCAUCCUGCUUCCUACCCAGAUUUACCUCAUCUUUGUACCAAAGAUUGGUUCACAUAAACAAAAUCCUCAAGUAUCAAAACUCCCAGUAAAUAAGGAGCCAGAAUGAGGCAGAUGCUGUAGAUAGAUAAGAAGCUUGAGUUAUCAGAGGGCCUAACUUGUUUGUGAUAAUGAACAUUAGAGCAAUACAACCAUAGAUGGCCCCAGCUGCAACCAUGAAAAUUAAUAAUACUUCAUUACUGAAAUAGAUCAUAUUAUAAAUCUGAGUCAAAGUUGCACCACUCAACCCAGCAAAUCCCUUAAGUAUCCCAACAACAGGACCCCGGCUUUUGGGGAAGUUUUGCACACAAGAAACUAGAGCUGCUGUGUUGAAGUAGGUUUCACCAUUCGUCCCCACAAUACAGCAACACAGAGCAGCAACUAAAAUUCAUAAAAUUUAAUGAAAAUGUCAGCUGAGGAAACUGUGAACCUCUUCUGAUAUCAGGCAUGGGAAGAUAAUUGCUUGAUUAGUUAAUUGAUAGGAUUUUGGACCUAGGAUUAUGUGAUUUACAAUAAACUGAUUACUUCUUGGCAGCAUUAUGGACAUAAAUCCAUAAUUAUUGAUCUUUAACAUAUAUCUAACUUUCCCCUAGGGAUGCCAAAAGUUGAGAAGACAGGCAGAUAGGCAUAAACCAAUAAUCCUGAUCAUUAAGUGCAUCCAUUCUUUGUCAAUGCAAAAUGCAGAUUCUUUAGCAUGCGCACUAUAAAAGAUUAAAUAAAUCACAGAACUAGAUUUUUUAAUCAUUACAAUAAAUAAAUCACAGAUCUAGAUUUUUUAAUCAUUACAUGAUAAACAAUUUAAGUAUGUUUAACAAAAGAAAGCAAAACAUUUCAGAGAAUCAGAAAAUAAUUUCACUAGGCAUUCUUCCAGUGUAACAGUGUAACCUUCAGCUUCUUUCUUGAGACGAUAAGAUAAGAAGUAUAUCAAAUGUUUCUAUUCAGCAAAGAGCAAUAUAUUUGAACCAAACUCACAAGUUCGGUGUAUAAACAAUGAACCUUUGUUAGUAUCAGGAGAAACACAAUUAAGAAACAGACUACUAUUUAGUUUGUGCUAAGUAACAAACUAGUUUCAUUGCUUUAAAAAUUCCAACCCUUUUAUCAAACAAAAGCAAAAUUUGGCAGGGAAGAAAUAGAAUGAUUUUACUCUAUCAAUAUUGAACUAAUUCAUUUUGAAACUCCCAGAAUCAUUAGCUAGAAGUAAAAUAACAUAGCAAUAAAACAACAUAGCAACCUAAUAGAAUAAUUGAUGGUAGUUGCUGAACACAUCCCACACUGAUUUUUUCACUGUGAUUUUCCUGGACAAAGAAGGUUAAAGAAUAAGAAUGCAACAAGAAAGAUCAACCCCCUCAAACUUUAUUUCUUUUUCCCCUGCAAACAUGAAUUUUUUUCUCUGCCUCCUAAAAUUCAUUUUUUCAAGGUUAAGAACUGUGUUGAAAAAGUCAGAUCCCUAUUACAUAUAUCACCAGGUCCUAAGUAUGAAUAUAGUUACUUUCAUUACAUUUGAUCAUGGUAAAAUGGCAACAAGUUGGAUAAGAUAUGCCAAAUUGGAAUGUGAAAUUGAGAACCACAAAAUGAUUCAUUAUGUACCAAUUUGCAAUGUCCAGUGUAGUUGCAAUUUUAAAGAAAUGAGCAAGCAGAUAUCAGCAUGACAGCAUUUCCUAAUGAAUCUGACUAUCAAACUUUACAAAACUAUUGGCCGUGAAAGAACAAAGUUUACUGUUUGAUCAGUUUGUCAAAUUUAGGAUCUUAUUAUGGUUUUGGCAUAUGAAACUGCAUUGAUUGAAGUGCCCAUGUUUAUUUGAAUUAUAUAGAAUUUAUAUGCAUCUAACAAAAUUAUGCUACUACAGAUCUCAAUUCAUGUUCUGAAACCAAGGACUUUUCUUACGAUUUCUCUUUGGAUUUGAAUCACAAACAGCUGAGAAGAGGGUUCUCUUUCCCUAGGUGUCAGCUGAUGAAGGUUGCUACUUCACGUAUUCCCUAGCUAUUUCUCAGAAAGCAAAUUUACCAGUGGAUCAACCAUGAGAUUCAUCAAGGAUUUGCAUGAUCUUACCACUACUACUGCAAGUUCUCAGCUAAUUCUCACAGAGAUAGAUGAUACAAUAUCAUUUUAAACCACUGAUACAAGUACAGAAGAAGAUCAGAAGAUUUAGCAGAGAAGAGAACAAGGAGAUAGAUUCAUUGAGAGAGAAGAGAGAUACACAAGUCCAUAAGAAAGAGAGAAUACAUCAAUACUGAUUGCACAUCAAUUCCAGCUUAUGAGCUCACUACUUAUACAAAUCAACUAACUACUAUUAGACGUGGCAUUCUAUUAAUGAAGACUUCCCUAACAAACUCCUUAAAAAAUAACAACUCCCCAACCAACUAACAGAACAAUCACAACUUCUGUAACAACUAACAAUUUCUCCCACCAUCUUCACCUUCAUCUUCGUAUCAACCACAAAGAGUCAACUUAUUCCUGGGACUAGAUCAUUAUUGUCACUGCCCACCAUAACAAAAACCAAGAUUCUUCAAAAUGCCGAAAGUAAAUACAUACCUUGUCACAAGCCAAAAAGGAUCAAUAAAGAAAAAUCAAAAUUAACCACAACUAAUGAAACUUUUCUCAAAACCCAAUUAUCAAGCUUUCCAUGGAAAUUUAGACAUCACAUAUGCACCAACAAAGAAGUGCCAAGUUAACUGGUAUGAACGAAUGAAUGGAACUCACCACCCAGAGCGGCAAAGAAAGCAAUUUUUUUGAUGACUAUGUCUAAGAGCCAAACCAAUCCAUACCCAACAAAGUUCUGCAACACUGCAAUCAUCAGAAGGGCCCAAAUAGGUAUCCAAUCCCUGCACAUGACUGGAGAUGAAGAAGCUAGAGUAUUACCAGUUGUAACUUGUUUAGAGGUAUGAAUAGCUGUUAAAUAAGGUUGGAUUAAAACCAAUAACUGCCGAAUCUGCUCUUGAGUAAAAGGCACCCUUUGAAUACUAGGUGAAUUAACUUGGCUUGGUGCAUUAUCUGUAUUUCCAGAUGAUUGAUCUUCAACAGUAGCUUGAUUAGCAUAAGAGCCAGAAUUCUUAAACUUGUAUCCAGGAGAAAAUCCAUGCUUCUUAUGGCAUGUAUCUACUGUAUGCCUUUGUUUUCCACAAUAGGUACACACCUUCACAUUACCAGAAUUGUCAGAAAAAAUUCUUAUUAAACUAAUACUGAUUUGUAAUGUUUUGACCCCCGCCAUAGCUAUAACCACUUCCUUUCUGAAAUUCAUUAUUAGUGAAAUUAUUCCUCAUUACUUUAGUAUUAACCAGUGCUUUAGAACUAAGACUCUCUCCAAGAUCCAUUUGUCUCUCUUGUUGAACAAUCAAUGAGAAAACCUUAUUAAUAGAAGGUAGAGAAUCCAAAAGCAUGAUCUGAGAUCUUACAUUAGCAAAUCUGUCAUAUAAUCCCUUAAGAAAAUGAAUCACAUAAUCAUUUCUUUGAUAAGUCUCAAAAAUACCAAUUGCACCACAAGAACAUGGAUUAGGGCAUGAACAUACAGGAAUAGGUCAAAAAUUCAAUAAUUCCUCCCAAAGAAUCUUGAGUUCUGUGAAAUAUUUAGUGACAGACAAAUCACCUUGCUUGAAUCCAUAGAUCUCCUCUUGCAGAUCUGAAAUCCGGAAGAUAUCUCCCUGUGAAAACCUUUCCCUCAGAUCUUUCCAAACAUCAGAAGCUUUAUCGAUCCAUAAGAUGCUUUGUGCAAUAGUUGGUGACAAUGAUCUUGUAAUCCAAGAUAAAACCAUCAUGUUACACCUUUCCCAGGCUGGAUACAACAGAUCUAUAACAGGAGGAACAAGUAUUGUGCCAUCAAUGAACUUGAUUUUGUUCUUUGAGAGUAGUGACAUUCUCAUUGCCCUAGACCAAGAAUGAUAAUUCUUUCCUAUGAGAACUGGAGAAACUAAAACUAAUGCUGGAUUUUCAUUUGGAUGAAGAAAAAAAGGAUUCGAUAGAUUUUGGAGGUAAUCAUUUGUUGUAUUUGUCAUUUCGAAGGAAAAAAAAUUGUUGGGAAAAUUGAGAAAGAAGAUUAAAGAAAAGAAAGCUCUGAUACCAUAUUAGAUUUGUAUGGAAGAGAAGACUGAAUCAAUUGAAUUAAGAAGCUGAGCUCAAAGUCUUAUAUACAAGAAGUUAAGCUAACAAAUUAGAGUAGCGAGAAAUAACAACUUCUCAACUAAGCUAACUGAACUACAACUGAGCUACCUAGCAAACAGUAAUAAAUUAAGCUUAAAUAAGCUAUACAAUAACUGCCAGUAAAUCACACUAUCUAUUUUCUAUAUCCUGUGGUAAAAGUAAGUACCGACAAUCCCUAAUGGAUAUGUAUGUAUGCUUAUUGCAGAAGAAUUUAACUCUGAUAAUAGCCUACAAAGCAUAAUCUCCACAACUAAAUUAUGGAAGUACCUCUGGAUCUCGAUCCACAGAGAAAUCCAUGGGUGUAGCGACGUGGAAUACCCCUGUACACCCUUGAAUUACAUCAUCAAAGCUUCCUUCCUCAACCAGCUCCCCUCUCCACAAACUCAGGUGGGUGCUGGCUUUUGGCAAGUCCAACAAAUGCUUCACCUUGUUCAUGUUUUCUGCAUCCAAACCCAUCAUCAUACCAAGUAUGGCUAGCAACUCCACUAGUUGAUUUCAAGUUUAGUGGGAAUUAACCGCAUAAAUGAAAGAUAAGAAUUUCAAACCAGGAUCGCGCACAGUUGCCCUGACAAAGUAGCCUUGUUCCAGGAGCCUCAUGACAAGCCAAGACCCAAUGAAUCCAGAUGCACCAGUCACGCAAACGAUCUCGCCUUCCAUAUUUUCUUGGUAUUAAUCAAAACUGAAAUUUCUCCAACAGAUGCAGUUCUGGAGAAGAAAAGUCUACAGGAGAUGGAGUUUUAUAUUCAUAAAUGUCAUUUGUCUGUGGAUUCCUACAUCAAAUACCACCAGAAGGAUGGGGUCCUUACAUCAAACUUAUCUUAAUUGGACUGAUGUAAUAUUGAAAAUGAGCCGGCAAGAACAAGCAUUUAUUUAUUCAUUUCUGUUUAACGAGUUCAUUCGUCCCUUAGCUCAGCCAAAUAUUCCAAAUUUCAAUCACUGGAUUUGGUAGGUUACGACCAAUCUCGUCCUUCCUCAUCAUUUUCAAACUCCAAAACACCAUAAAAUCUCCACCAUUUCUUCUUCUCAUUCAGGAAAAAACCCCAAAUUUGUAAACCCAAUUCUAAUUUUUACUUAAUUCCCUCAAAGUACAGGUGAAAAUAUUUUUAUUGGUUUCCUUGCUUCUCAAUGGCAAUGAGAACUUGUGAAGAAGUGUUUGUUGCUUUCUGCUUCAACAUUUUCAGAACUGAAAUCACCAAGUUCUGAGUUUUCAAAAAUCAAGUGCCUUCUGCAAACUGAGAUUGGAUAACUAUUUCUUUCAUUAGUUUCAUGAUCUGUAUAAAACAGGUAUCUGGAGAAUGGAAUAAAUCAUCUCAACCAUCAGUUAAUGAAGAUAAGAUGCUAAGUUGUGACUUCCAUUAUAAUGACAAUUCUCAUAGAUUUUUA